rnacentral:rRNA from 1 species
GAACGUGAAAGGGAGCAAUCCUGAGUAAAGUGGCGUACGGGUGAGUAACGCGUAGGUAAUCUACCCCAGAGUCUGGAAUAACCUGACGAAAGUCGGGCUAAUACUGGAUAGAGCGAGGGAAUCCGUGAAUGGAUUUUUCGGGAAAGGGAGGCCGUCAAGGCCCCUUGCUUUGGGAUGAGCCUGCGUCUGAUUAGCUAGUUGGUGGGGUAACGGCCCACCAAGGCGGUGAUCAGUAGCUGGUCUGAGAGGAUGAUCAGCCACACUGGAACUGAAACACGGUCCAGACUCCUACGGGAGGCAGCAGUGGGGAAUCUUGCGCAAUGGACGAAAGUCUGACGCAGCCACGCCGCGUGAGUGAAGAAGGCCUUCGGGUUGUAAAGCUCUGUCGGGAGGGACGAACAACUUAUGGGUGAAUAGCCCAUGAGUCUGACGGUACCUCUAGAGGAAGCACCGGCUAACUCCGUG